AAAAAAGGUUUCGUCUUUGCUGCCUGCAAAGUAAGUAACACAUAUAUUAACUAAAAUCUUAAUGUAAGCAAAAAGAAUAGCUGAAACAGAAAUUAAAACUAAAGUAAAUUUGAUCAUUCUUGGAUUCUUAGAUUAACAUGCAAUAUAUUAUAUAUGCCAUUUCUUUAAUUUACUAAAGUUAAAUAUGACAAAAUAGACAUUCAUCUGUUCUUUAUCCAUUUGUCAGGUCUUCAGAGAACACAAGUCGUGUUAAGCACCAUUCAAUGUCAUUGUCAGAAAUCCAAUGGACUGGGAAGACCAUCAUAAACAUCUACAGUAAUCAGCUAUCUUUCUCUUUCUUGGUCUUCCUGUUCAGUUCAUUUACAGAAUUCCUAAAAAUCUUACUUGUAAUUUCAAGAAACUAAUAGUGACAUUGAUAACAAGUUAACAAAUGAAAACCAAAUGUCAACACAUUCUCAGAUUGUGGACCAUCUCUCCCUAUUCAUCUACAAGAACGAUUAUAAUUUACCACACAACGCAUGAUCAUCAAAGACUGCCAUAAUUAAAGACCCCACAUAGUUGUGUACUUUCAAAAGGCCAGGACAAUAUUCAUAACUCAGUGUCAAUAUUAAUUAUGUUUAGAAGGUUAUUGCUAAUAACUUGUCUGCAUAACAAAUGUUACAAAUCGAGAUAACCUAUUGCAAUGAGGUGUUAAAGAAUGCAAAGUCAACAUACUGCGAGAUUCAAGCAAAGCCACACCAGCCUAUCCUCUUGUCAUUACCUGUUCGGGGAAAACAAAAUCUUCAUAGCAAAAAACCUUAUUCUACUUUGCAUGAUAUGUAGUUCCAAAGGUAUCACCAAUAAUAACUUCCUAACAGAAAAUAUUUAUUUUACAUGCUGUAUAAUUCCAAAAAUAUCACCAAAAAUACGACUUUCUAACAGAAAAAAGUUGCAUUAUCAUAACAACAGCAUAGACACUUAAUUUAGAAAUUCAUACCAAAUAAUUUUUUUUUUAAUCUCUUA
rnacentral:misc_RNA from 1 species